AAAAAAAAAGAAAGGUAAGAAAGAGAAACAUAAGAAGAAGAAGGAAAAUGACAGACGCUAAGAAAAAGGUAUCGGCAGUAUAUGAUAAGGUGGCUUCUAGGGCACGUGGUUCCAUCAUACUUGUCAAAGUAAGGAACCAACAAUUGUUGAGGGAUGGUUACGUUAGGGACCUACCAUAAUUCCAGGGCGUCCACCGCCCCAUCGGUAUUGGUUCCUUCAAAUGGCCCUAAGUCUUUCUUCUAGGAACUCUAGCGUCUCCUUUGACGAAGGAUCCUCGUAUAAGGAGAAGGAGGAUUUAUUUUAAACCCCGAUUGUACCCUAGGGUCGCUUGGUUUGAAUGUCGACCCGUUGUGACUCGUUUUAUUUAAAGUGGAUAAGGGGAGAGGGAAGGAGUAGUUCGCUUACUUCUAUCCGGAGAGAAAGUCCCCUC
rnacentral:misc_RNA from 1 species